UUCAAAGCUGAGCUUUUCAACACAAACUUUGCAUUUGCAAACUGGUGAGACUUACAAUGGCGUGUGCAUCUCCCCAUGCAGGACUCAGAUCCCUCUUUUCUUGGAGCAGCUCAGCAGAGGAAUGCCAAGAUGUCACUUCUGGCGUGGAUCACCCAGCGGGGCACAUCCCUGGAAGGUGGACUGGUGCUCAGGUGCUGAGGUUUCAGGUCAGACAGAACCCAUGAGGAUGCUUCUUCACGCACCAGCCUGGCUCCAUCCAGCUCAACAGCACCAAAAGGAGGUGUCCAACCCCCCCAUGUCACAGGCAACUCUGCGGCUUGUCCUGCUCCUGCUGACUCCUUCACUGACCGGCAGCAGCCUGGUGUUGCUCAACGCUCCCGGUCUGUGCCCACCUGAGUGCAGGAUACAGCCUCCCCCUGCCCAUCGCCCACACUCAG